UGCCAGCCGCCGCGGUAAUACGGAGGGGGCUAGCGUUGUUCGGAAUUACUGGGCGUAAAGCGCACGUAGGCGGACUAUUAAGUCAGGGGUGGAAUCCCGGGGCUCAACCCCGGAACUGCCUCUAAUACUGCUAGUCUUGAGUUCGAGAGAGGUGAGUGGAAUUCCGAGUGUAGAGGUGAAAUUCGUAGAUAUUCGGAGGAACACCAGUGGCGAAGGCGACUCACUGGCACAUUUCUGACGCUGAGGCGCGAAAGCGUGGGGAGCAAGCAGGAUUAGAUA
rnacentral:rRNA from 1 species